rnacentral:rRNA from 1 species
UACGGAGGAUGCGAGCGUUAUCCGGAUUUAUUGGGUUUAAAGGGUGCGUAGGCGGGCUGUUAAGUCAGCGGUCAAAUGUCGGGGGCUCAACCCCCGGCCUGCCGUUGAAACUGGCGGCCUCGAGUGGGCGAGAAGUAUGCGGAAUGCGUGGUGUAGCGGUGAAAUGCAUAGAUAUCACGCAGAACUCCGAUUGCGAAGGCAGCAUACCGGCGCCCGACUGACGCUGAGGCACGAA